ensembl:lncRNA
ACACGAGUCAGCAAGGCCUCUGUAAUUUCCCCUUUUUUGUGGUUAUUUGAUUUAAAUAAAAACUCCCUCUCUUCAAGGAAGUCAGUUUUGCACUCGCUUAUGGUCUUCAAAGGAUUUGGUUCCUUCUUAUGCACCUACUGUAUAAGAUGAUCACAAUUUUUGCAUUAAUUCCAUGGAUCACUCUGUCUGUGGUGACAGAGCUGAGUGCUGCAGUCAGUUCUGUUGAUCGGUUUGUGCUGAAAGGAAACUCUACUAACCUCACAGUGGAGGGACUACAAACAGAGAAUGUCCGGAGACUUUCAUGGAAAGUAAACUCAACGCUUAUACUGGAGUACAACCUGAAGGAAAAGAAAGAGACGUACUUUGGCAGUUUUGAGCAGAAGACAAAUUUUAACCCCACAGACUACUCUCUGUACAUUAAGAACCUGAUGGAGACAGACAUUGGUCUCUACUCUGCUGAAAUUCUUGACAAUAAUGGAAAAUCCACCUAUCACACGAAGUAUAACUUACAUGUCCUGGAAGCUGUACCCAAACCCAUCCUAAAUCUGAUGUUACUCCAUCUCAACUCCUCUGGAACAGUUUGCAAUGUGUCAGUGAACUGCUCAGUUGGACACAGCUGGGUCUCCUGCACCUGUGAUCAGGACCAGUGUAAACAUGUGGAACUCCAGUCAGAUGUGAACAUCAGUGUUACUGCUAACAAGGGUACCAUCACCUGUACAGGCAGCAAUCUGGUCAGCAGUGCAAACCAGUCAAAAGCGAUGGAACCUCUAUGUGUUCAAUCCCCCCUUACAGGUUCCUCUGCAUUCAUGGGUAUCAUUGCAUCCGUUUUGGCAGUUUUCGGGGUUGUAUUAAUAUGUGUCAUAUCGCUGGUUAGAAGAUCCAUGAGGUCUUCAAGCCAUUCUGUAUCACAGAACAUCGGAACUGAGCAAAACACUAUAUACUCCACUCCGGAGAACCCAAGCACACACUGCCCUCUAAAUGUCAACCAAGAGACUGAUCAAACUGUGUACUGCACUGUGAUGCAGAGAAAUAACCAAGGGUCCAACGCUACAGUACCUCCAAGCCACGAUGGUGAUAUUACUAUAUACAGUAUGGUGAAAAAAUGACCUGGACCUCCUAACUUGAUGUAAGGGUUUAAAGCAUAUCAACUGUGACACAGAGUGCAGUUUAGUAGGUUGAAUGGUAGGGCAGCAGGUAGCUCUCACCGCACCUGGACCGUCUGAGUGAUACUGGAUUCGAAUCCAUCCCAGUUUGUAUGGAGUUUGCAUGUUCUCCCAUAUUCCAAAGACAUGUUUUUUUUGGAGAAUGUCUUUUGCGACCCUGUAAUGGACUUGAUUCUGUUGGUCAAAGGUGGAAUGACAGUACAGGGUUUAUGGCCCUAUCAGGACACCAUGGUUUUGUAUUAAUUUUAGUUAUUAUAUUUUGUCAUGUCUUAUAAAGGUGAGCUAUGCUUUAUUGUUAAAGGUGUUUACAGAGAAAGAGAGAAAUUGGGUUCUAACCUUGUUCAGUUUGUGUGUGUGAGUUUGUAUGUUCUCCCCAUGUUCACAUGGGUUUUCUCCCAUGGUCCAAAGACAUGUGUUUCAAGUGAAUUGGUGAUCCUAAUUGCCCAUAACAUCAGAAACUGGUAAUUCAGAACUGGUAUCAAAGCCAGGGUGGUAACGGUUGAUGUCAGGAAGGGGAUCGGCAACAAAAAAACCUCAGCUCCAGCUGAAACUUAAAAUGCUGCAGAUUCUGGAGGUUCAAAAUUCAAACUGGGUUCUAGAAAAAGCAGUGAAACUAAAUAGUACUAGUAGAAUAUUAAAUUUGUUUCCCUGGUACUGAUGUGAGACACCUUUGAUUGUAAUACAGAGAAUGUUACCUAUUUUAAGGUAUAGAAUGGAAGGUCUUGAGACUGCAUUUACAUUAUUAUUGUGUCUGGAUUAAUGAAGAGCAAAAAACUGUUCUUUAAAAACAAGUGUACAAAGUUUAGUGUAGUGUAUCUGGAAUAGUCACCUUGGAUGACCAUGGAUGACAUCAGGAAAACAUUAGUUAAUCAUUGAAUCUACUUUGAAGAAAAGUGUCUGGUAAAUGUAAAUGAUUGUCCCUUUAUGUGCCACUAAUUUGGAAUUUAUAUGCUUGUGAUACUGUUCAGUUAGAAUAAAAACCUGUUGUAAACCA